CCUUUUUGCUGGUGAGGAUAGAGAGACGAUGCCCUCUUUGAAUCUUCGACGGCUACAAGUUAGUCUACCAGCAACCACACCUACGAAGGAGGAACAAAGAUUCAAUGAUUGCAACUGUUGAAUCAACAAAACUAGAUUAUGAAUGGAGGAACGACUGAACAAAACAUGUUGGCGCUGAUUCAUUGGCAUUGGCGAAGGGAUCCAGUUUGUGAGGUGCGGUGUCUUGGCGUUCCGACUGUCGACAUGCGAAACCUCUGUCGCGUUCUACAAGUUUGUUCAGACAAUUUUGAUUCAUCACUUAGGUUCUGUAAGUAGAUUAAGUUAACUGUUUAAGUGAAGCAUUUAUGGUUAAUGUUAGUUGAAAUGAAAGGAGAAGACUGGUGGUAAGAUUCUUCUUAGGACUGGUGGUGUGUUGUAUCUUUUUCGGGGUAAACAUUAUGAUCCGCACAACAGGUCGAAAUACCAUGUGAUUCUAUGGAAGCCUGCAACUCGGUUUACCUAAAGCUUAUACAAGAAUCACCGGAAGGGUUGACGAAAGAAGAAGCUGAUGAGUUGAGAAUGAAAGGGAAAAAACUUCCCCCGAUUUG